AUGUGAAUUGCAGAAUUCAGUGAAUCAUCGAAUCUUUGAACGCACCUUGCGCCCCUUGGUAUUCUGAGGGGCACACCCGUUUGAGUGUCGUGAACACAUCCUCAACCUUCUUUUGGUUUUUUUAUUUUUAAUUUAAUUUAAAAACCAGGGAAGGCUUGGACUUUGGAGGUUUUUCAUUGCUGGUAUCCUUUCAAGGUCCAGCUCCUCUUAAAUGAAUCAGUGGGGUCCACUUUGCUGAUCCUUGACGUGAUAAGCAUUAUUCUACUUCUUGGGUUUUCGCAGUGUCACCGUGGAACCUGCUUCAAACCGUCUUUGAAACAAAGACAAUGUUCGGGUUUUAACUCGACCCACAAAACCUUGACCUCAAAUCGGGUGAGACUACCCGCUGAACUUAAGCAUAUCAAUAAGCGGAGGAAAAGAAACUAACAAGGAUUCCCCUAGUAACUGCGAGUGAAGCGGGCCAAGCUCACAUUUAAAAUCUGGUGGCCUUCGGUCAUCCGAGUUGUAAUUUAGAGAAGCGUCUUCCGCGCUGAACCGUGCACAAGUCUCCUGGAAUGGAGCGUCAUAGAGGGUGAGAAUCCCGUCUUUGGCACGGAACAUCAGGGCUUCUGUGAUGCGCUCUCGACGAGUCGAGUUGUUUGGGAAUGCAGCUCAAAAUGGGUGGUGAACUCCAUCUAAAGCUAAAUAUUGGCGAGAGACCGAUAGCGAACAAGUACCGUGAGGGAAAGAUGAAAAGCACUUUGGAAAGAGAGUGAAACAGUACGUGAAAUUGUUGAAAGGGAAACGCUUGAAGUCAGUCGCGUCGACCGAGACUCAACCUUGCCUUGGCUUGGUGUACUUCUCGGCUGACGGGUCAGCAUCAAUUUUGAUCCUUGGAUAAUGGCAAGGGAAAGGUAGCACCUUUUUAGGUGUGUUAUAGUCCUUCGUCGCAUACGGGGGUUGGGAUUGAGGAACUCAGCACGCACCUCUCGGUGUCGGGGCCUCGGCCCACGCUACGUGCUUAGGAUGCUGGCGUAAUGGCUU
rnacentral:rRNA from 1 species